rnacentral:rRNA from 1 species
GACGAACGCUGGCGGCGUGCUUAACACAUGCAAGUCGAACGGAAAGGCCCUGCUUUUGUGGGGUGCUCGAGUGGCGAACGGGUGAGUAACACGUGAGUAACCUGCCCUUGACUUUGGGAUAACUUCAGGAAACUGGGGCUAAUACCGGAUAGGAGCUCCUGCUGCAUGGUGGGGGUUGGAAAGUUUCGGCGGUUGGGGAUGGACUCGCGGCUUAUCAGCUUGUUGGUGGGGUAGUGGCUUACCAAGGCUUUGACGGGUAGCCGGCCUGAGAGGGUGACCGGCCACAUUGGGACUGCGAUACGGCCCAGACUCCUACGGGAGGCAGCAGUGGGGAAUAUUGCACAAUGGGCGGAAGCCUGAUGCAGCAACGCCGCGUGCGUGAUGACGGCCUUCGGGUUGUAAACCGCUUUCGCCUGUGACGAAGCGUGAGUGACGGUAAUUGGUAAAGAAGCACCGGCUAACUACGUG